AGCAGCCGCGGUAAUUCCAGCUCCAAUAGCGUAUAUUAAAGUUGUUGUGGUUAAAAGCUCGUAGUAGAACCUUGGGCCUGGCUGGCCGGUCCGCCUCACCGCGUGCACUGGUCCGGCCGGGCCUUUCCCUCUGUGGAACCGCAUGCCCUUCACUGGGUGUGCCGGGGAAACAGGACUUUUACUUUGAAAAAUUAGAGUGCUCCAGGCAGGCCUAUGCUCGAAUACAUUAGCAUGGAAUAAUAGAAUAGGACGUGUGGUUCUAUCUUGUUGGUUUCUAGGACCGCCGUAAUGAUUAAUAGGGACAGUCGGGGGCAUCAGUAUUCAAUUGUCAGAGGUGAAAUUCUUGGAUUUAUUGAAGACUAACUACUGCGAAAGCAUUUGCCAAGGAUGUUUUCAUUUAUCAGGAACGAAGUUAGGGAUCGAAGACGAUCAGAUACCGUCGUAGUCUUAACCAUAAACUAUAGCCGACUAGGGAUCGGACGAUGUUAUUUUUGACUUCGUUCGGUCUACCUUACGGGAA
rnacentral:misc_RNA from 1 species